CGGACCGGUGUAGAUCCAUUGUUUAUCGUGCAUUUAGCGGAUAAACAAGCGAAUUGAAGCAAAUACGAUAGGCAGAGUAGAGAGAGAGACAGAGAGAGGGUGGUACGAACCACGUUAUUGCCACGUCACGAAAUCGUGGUGUAUAGUAAAUGCCAUGCAUGUUUAAUCAGUCAGAAUUAUGACUUGUCAUGUAGCAGUUUUAACGGAUCAUCCGUUGCUACGCGAUCACUAAGCCCACCCCUUCUGCUGCCUCUUCCCUUUUCAUCCC
rnacentral:misc_RNA from 1 species